rnacentral:rRNA from 1 species
AUUGAACGCUGGCGGCAUGCCUUACACAUGCAAGUCGAACGGCAGCACGGGGCAACCUGGUGGCGAGUGGCGAACGGGUGAGUAAUGCAUCGGAACGUACCUUUCAGUGGGGGAUAACGUAGCGAAAGUUACGCUAAUACCGCAUAUUCUGUGAGCAGGAAAGCAGGGGAUCGCAAGACCUUGCGCUGAUUGAGCGGCCGAUGUCAGAUUAGCUAGUUGGUGAGGUAAAGGCUCACCAAGGCGACGAUCUGUAGCGGGUCUGAGAGGAUGAUCCGCAACACUGGAACUGAGACACGGUCCAGACUCCUACGGGAGGCAGCAGUGGGGAAUUUUGGACAAUGGGGGCAACCCUGAUCCAGCCAUGCCGCGUGAGUGAAGAAGGCCUUCGGGUUGUAAAGCUCUUUCGGCCGGGAAGAAAUCGCACGGGCUAAUACCCUGUGUGGAUGCCGGUACCGGAAUAAGAAGCACCGGCUAACUACGUGCCAGCCGCCGCGGUAACAC